UACAGAGGGGGCAAGCGUUGUUCGGAAUUACUGGGCGUAAAGGGCGCGUAGGCGGCCUUCUAAGUCGAACGUGAAAUCCCCGGGCUCAACCCGGGAACUGCGUCCGAUACUGGAAGGCUUGAAUCCGGGAGAGGGAUGUGGAAUUCCAGGUGUAGCGGUGAAAUUCGUAGAUAUCGGGAGGAACACCGGUGGCGAAGGCAGCCUCCUGGGCCAACACUGACGCUCAUGCACGAAAGCGUGGGGAGCAAACAGG
rnacentral:rRNA from 1 species